CUGGCGGCGUGCUUAACACAUGCAAGUCGAACGGAAAGGCCCUGCUUUUGUGGGGUGCUCGAGUGGCGAACGGGUGAGUAACACGUGAGUAACCUGCCCUUGACUUUGGGAUAACUUCAGGAAACUGGGGCUAAUACCGGAUAGGAGCUCCUGCUGCAUGGUGGGGGUUGGAAAGUUUCGGCGGUUGGGGAUGGACUCGCGGCUUAUCAGCUUGUUGGUGGGGUAGUGGCUUACCAAGGCUUUGACGGGUAGCCGGCCUGAGAGGGUGACCGGCCACAUUGGGACUGAGAUACGGCCCAGACUCCUACGGGAGGCAGCAGUGGGGAAUAUUGCACAAUGGGCGGAAGCCUGAUGCAGCAACGCCGCGUGCGGGAUGACGGCCUUCGGGUUGUAAACCGCUUUCGCCUGUGACGAAGCGUGAGUGACGGUAAUGGGUAAAGAAGCACCGGCUAACUACGUGCCAGCAGCCGCGGUGAUACGUAGGGUGCGAGCGUUGUCCGGAUUUAUUGGGCGUAAAGGGCUCGUAGGUGGUUGAUCGCGUCGGAAGUGUAAUCUUGGGGCUUAACCCUGAGCGUGCUUUCGAUACGGGUUGACUUGAGGAAGGUAGGGGAGAAUGGAAUUCCUGGUGGAGCGGUGGAAUGCGCAGAUAUCAGGAGGAACACCAGUGGCGAAGGCGGUUCUCUGGGCCUUUCCUGACGCUGAGGAGCGAAAGCGUGGGGAGCGAACAGGCUUAGAUACCCUGGUAGUCCACGCUGUAAACGGUGGGUACUAGGUGUGGGGUCCAUUCCACGGGUUCCGUGCCGUAGCUAACGCUUUAAGUACCCCGCCUGGGGAGUACGGCCGCAAGGCUAAAACUCAAAGGAAUUGACGGGGCCCCGCACAAGCGGCGGAGCAUGCGGAUUAAUUCGAUGCAACGCGUAGAACCUUACCUGGGUUUGACAUGGAUCGGGAGUGCUCAGAGAUGGGUGUGCCUCUUUUGGGGUCGGUUCACAGGUGGUGCAUGCCUGUCGUCAGCUCGUGUCGCGAGAUGUUGGGUUAAGUCCCGCAACGAGCGCAACCCUUGUUCACUGUUGCCAGCACGUUAUGGUGGGGACUCAGUGGAGACCGCCGGGGUCAACUCGGAGGAAGGUGGGGAUGACGUCAAGUCCUCAUGCCCCUUAUGUCCAGGGCUUCACGCAUGCUACAAUGGCUGGUACAGAGAGUGGCGAGCCUGUGAGGGUGAGCGAAUCUCGGAAAGCCGGUCUCAGUUCGGAUUGGGGUCUGCAACUCGACCUCAUGAAGUCGGAGUCGCUAGUAAUCGCAGAUCAGCAACGCUGCGGUGAAUACGUUCCCGGGGCUUGUACACACCGCCCGUCAAGUCAUGAAAGUUGGUAACACCCGAAGCCGGUGGCCUAACCGUUGUGGGGGAGCCGUCGAAGGUGGGACUGGUGAUUAGG
rnacentral:rRNA from 1 species